CCGACCUUAGCUCAGUUGGUAGAGCGGAGGACUGUAGUAUUUGCAGAAUUAAUCCUUAGGUCGCUGGUUCGAAUCCGGCAGGUCGGA
rnacentral:tRNA from 1 species